CACAGGGCAUUCCCAGACCGAGGUUUGGAGGACCAGAGGUCAGAGGUCGAUUAGCAUCCACAACAAGAACCGGAGUUGGGUUAAAGCGGACCGAGCAGAGCCGGGAUGAGAAAGGAAAACAUGCAGAGGGAAUCUGGAGAGAAGGACUUGAAAUCCAACAACUUGUUCAUAGUUAAGUAGAUAAAUUACAGAAUUAGCAGAACAGGGACAGAAAUCAGUGGAGUGAAGUUUAAAAGAAGAGUUUGAGAGAAAACAUGAGCAACUUUGUAUUUUCUGAGUUUGCUGCCUGCUACUGUCAGGCCCGCAGCUUUAAUUUGUUUUUCUGCAGAGCUCUCCUCAGAGAGGCCGGAGUCUGGAGGAUUACAACCUUACAAGCAUAUUAAUUGGUUUCCGUGUUGUUAAUGACGAGGCAGAGGGAAAAGCUCAGCGAGCUCUAAUGUAGCGUCACUUUUACAGUAAUGACAGAAACCAGCCCAGCGGAUGUUAAUGGAUUUGGUUCUGAUGAGGACUAAUAGAAAGUGGCUCAGUGCAGGAGAUGAGCACGUCGGGGGUUAUGUGCACAUUUUUCACUCCACCAGAUGCGAGUCUGGCUGAUGAGCCUCACAUCAAGGGAACGAAGUUCAUGGGAGAGUUGAAAGCAAAGCGCACAUCCGGUCACGAGCCUCAACCUCUGGAGCUGAUGCGCAGGCGCGAUACGCCGCGGCGGUCCGGCCGGGUUGGACUCAGCUGAACCUCCGGGUGGAGGAUCCGGUCCAGCAGGUCCAUCCUCCGUUUCUGCGCUCAACAAUCUCCUCCAUCAAUCACGGAAGUAAAUUUCCUCCCAUCCUUCCUUCUCCAUUCAGGUCUCAUCUCGGCGCACCUGAAACGCGCUGACGCCGCGCUUACAUUUCAGCCCGCAACAUCUCACUCAAUAAUUUACGACUUCAGCCUCAAUCUUAACAAGGCCGGGCCAAAAGGGAGCUUAACCCCGCUGGCUGGAAGAGGCCCCGUCAGCAGUUCAGAUGUAUUAACAAUCACAGCGGAUGUCAGCGCGGCGCAGGAGCCACAUUUUACUUUUUUAUCCUCUUCCUCCAUCGACGCCAUUGUUCCAUCUGCAGAUAAAUCUACAUUUCUAAUGCAAAACAGGAACCUGGAUCUGAACACACAACCUGUGAAUUAAACUGACUGAAUGAACCAGAAACCUCCGGUCGGCUGGAAGUGGGACAAAGACGACCAGAGAGGGAGGCGAAGCGUCUGAAAGUUCACUGAGCAGAGUCAACACGUCUCCAUGGCAACCGUUAGACUCCGAACGGCAGCGGGAGGAGAGUCAGAGCAGAUCGGAGAGGAGAAAGAACCUCCAGAACCGGAACAAUAGCUUCAACUGUUUCCAUCUUCUGCCGGGACGAAUGUGGACAGAACAUCAGAUGGACAGACUGAUCUGGUUCGGUAAGUAGGAUCAUUUACAGGAGAUCUGAGAUCCUCAAGCAGAUUAAUGUCUGAACAUGUUUGUAUAAUAAUUCAUACUUCAAGACAUCACCUGCAGGUCAAGCAGAACAGAAACUGGGCUGGAAUUAAAAUCCGUUUCCGCUCCGACCUUAACGCACGAAUCUGAUGAACGGACAUGAAAAGAGAAAGAGGGCUAAGAUACAGCAGGUGACCUGAUGGCAGCCGGCAGCCCGUCCUGACGCCCUGCAGCCUCCGCCUGCACCAAAUAUCCUCCCUGCUCCAUCUUGGCUCAUUUUAACGAGGUUAAAAAAGUUAAUAACACCAAAUGUUCCGUCGCCGCGGCAGUAAAACCAGUUUAUAUACUGCAGAGAAAAUGAGGCCGGUAAUCACUGCCUCCCGAAACCUCAGCAGCUGCAAGCCGAGCCACGUGUGUGUGAAAGACAUGCAGGUGCAACACACACACACACACACACCGACACGCACAGAGAACAGGUGACUUUCAGAAAAGACCUCCAAGGUCGUUUCUAAAUCCAGACCA